GACGAACGCUGGCGGCGUGCUUAACACAUGCAAGUCGAACGGAAAGGCCCUGCUUUUGUGGGGUGCUCGAGUGGCGAACGGGUGAGUAACACGUGAGUAACCUGCCCUUGACUUUGGGAUAACUUCAGGAAACUGGGGCUAAUACCGGAUAGGAGCUCUUGCUGCAUGGUGUGGGUUGGAAAGUUUCGGCGGUUGGGGAUGGACUCGCUGCUUAUGCGCUUGUUUGUGGGGUAGUUGCUUACCAAGGUUUCGACGGGUAGCCGGCCUGGGAGGGUGACCGGCCACAUUGGGACUAAGAUACGGCCCAGACUCCUACGGGAGGCAGCAGGGGGGAAUAUUGCACAAUGGGCGGAAGCCUGAUGCAGAAACGCUGCGUGCGGGAUGACGGCCUUCGGGUUGUAAACCGCUUUCGCCUGUAACGAAGCGUGAGUGACGGUAAUGGGUAAAGAAGCACCGGCUAACUACGUG
rnacentral:rRNA from 1 species